GUGUCACGGUGAUAUAAAAUGCCCCGAAGGAUGGUUCUGUGAUCACCACAAAGGUUACUGCGACACCUAUCGAGAAGCAAAGGAACCAUGCGAAAACGAUUAUCAAUGUCAUAGCAAUCUCAUCUGCAUUCGUGGAAAAUGUGCUCGGCCAUAUGAACCUAGACAUAAAGGGCAUGCACUUACCAGGACAGGAACCAUUUCCUCAAGUGCUAGAAAGUUGACAAAAAUCCAUGCAAGUAGAAGUGUCACCUAGAAAACUUGAAGCAACGGAAGGUGAUAACAAAGCUGACAGCACGAUAAGCCAUUACUUAAGUGCCAGAUAGAAUGAAAAGCACAACAUUGUUCUAGGUUUUCUUUGAUUAACAAAGCUGACAGAAAUGUUUGAAGAUUGUCAUACACAUUUCACAGCAUGAUAAGCCAUUACUUGAGUGCCAGAUAGAAUGAAAAGCACAACAUUGUUCUAGGUUUUCUUUGAUUA